rnacentral:rRNA from 1 species
AAAGGGUAUGACCUCAUCCUUGAUCGCCAUGACACGUCUAGUAUAAGCAAUUUAUACAGUGAAACUGCGAAUGGCUCAUUAAAUAGUUGUCGUUUAUUUGAUAGUACCUUUACUACUUGGAUAACCGUGAAUAAUUCUAGAGCUAAUACAUGCUAAAAAUCCCGACUGUUUGGAAGGGAUGUAUUUAUUAGAUAAAAAAUCAAUGCUCUUUGAGCUCUUUGAUGAUUCAUAAUAACUUUUCGAAUCGCAUGGCCUUGUGCUGGCGAUGGUUCAUUCAAAUUUCUGCCCUAUCAACUUUCGAUGGUAGGAUAGUGGCCUACCAUGGUUUCAACGGGUAACGGGGAAUAAGGGUUCGAUUCCGGAGAGGGAGCCUGAGAAACGGCUACCACAUCCAAGGAAGGCAGCAGGCGCGCAAAUUACCCAAUCCCGACACGGGGAGGUAGUGACAAUACAUAACGAUACAGGGCCCUUUCGGGUCUUGUAAUUGGAAUGAGUACAAUGUAAAUACCUUAACGAGGAACAAUUGGAGGGCAAGUCUGGUGCCAGCAGCCGCGGUAAUUCCAGCUCCAAUAGCGUAUAUUAAAGUUGUUGCAGUUAAAAAGCUCGUAGUUGAACUUUGGGCUUGGUUGGCCGGUCCGCCUUUUUGGCGAGUACUGGACCCAACCGAGCCUUUCCUUCUGGCUAACCAUUCGCCCUUGUGGUGUUUGGCGAACCAGGACUUUUACUUUGAAAAAAUUAGAGUGUUCAAAGCAGCCUUUGCUCGAAUAUAUUAGCAUGGAAAUAAUAGAAUAGGACGUUAUGGUUCUAUUUUGUUGGUUUCUAGGACCAUCGUAAUGAUUAAUAGGGACGGUCGGGGGCAUCAGUAUUCAGUUGUCAGAGGUGAAAUUCUUAGAUUUACUGAAGACUAACUACUGCGAAAGCAUUUGCCAAGGACGUUUUCAUUAAUUCAAGAACGAAAGUUAGGGGAUCGAAGAUGAUCAGAUACCGUCGUAGUCUUAACCAUAAACUUAUGCCGACUAGGGAUCGGGUGUUUGUUCUUUUUUUGACCGCACUCGGCACUUACGAGAAAUCAAGUCUUUGGUUCUUGGGGGGGUAUGGUCGCAGCCUGAACCUUAAGACUGAACGAACGUCACACCAGGAAUGGAGCCUGGCGGCUUAAUUGAACUCAACGGUGGAAAUCUCCACAAGGUCCAGAACAAUUAGGAAUGGACCGAAUUGAGAGACUCUUUCUCUCGUGAAAUUUGUG